UCAAGUUUACCCAUUAAACUUCUGUAUUUUAUGGUGGUGUUUUUUUUUUUAAUUACUUAUAAUACACAGGUAUUUUGUCCUUGCGACCAUCAAACUGAAUACCUGAAAUGAGGUUUGACCUGCUUGAUUUGAAAUACUGCCUUUAAUAAUAUAUUACUCUUGAUUGAAUGUAAUUAAACAGAUGAAUUUAAGUUAGUGAGAUUUGGCUUUGGAGUUGCACAGCUAUGAAAACAAUUUAUUUUACCUUUGAUAGUUAGUUUGAACUUCAGUCAGUGUGCAUGGGUUUUAUUGACUAGAUACUGAAACCUUCAGUUAUGAUUUAUUUAUUUUUAUUUGCAAUUUGAUUGGAUUAGUCCCACUAAGGCAACAGCUUACUUGAGAGACACUGAGGUUGUUUAUAUAUUGAUUAGAAGAAAUUUAUGAACUGUAGUAGUGAAGAUUACUUCUCAUGCUCAAUUGCAGUGUCCUAUUAUCCUGGGUGCUUUGUAGACUAGAGAGAAUCCCUGUGACCUGUGAGGAAAAAGAACACAAAGAAGAGUAAAUUGUGAAGCUAAUCCUACUGGUAAAACAAACCUGACAUUACGACUUCUUUCCACAUUCAUUUCUUGUCAGAUGAGCACAUUACGGUAGGCAGUUCUGACAAUGGCCUGAUAUUGCCCCAUGGAAAAAUACAGGCAUGAAUAUCCUCUCACAGUCGAGCACUGGCUUUAAGCAUGUUGUUUUGUGCUGGAAACCAUUGUGUAACACUUUGUUUUCACUUGUCUGUUUGUAUAGCGUUACAAUCAUCCUUUCUUCAUUUUUGAGUGACCUGCUAUGCGUGCUUUCAAGAAAUAUUUGUAGCAUGCGACUGCAUACAGAUGGUGUAUAUGUUAAGUGAGCAUCUGAGAGUAUUGGCCUUAGCUUCAGCAAAAUGAAUGAAAGUAAGCUUUGAUGAAAUUCUACAAAUCACCACCACCUGUCAGUUGCUUACGUUUGCUCCAUGUAUUGUAGAUGUCAAGAAGAAAGUUGAGGAAGUCCUCGGAGUGCUUGACCCAGUGAGACUGGGUACAGUCCAUGAUGGAUCACGUCUACUGGUCGCUCUUGCAUGCAGGCCUUGAGGACACCAAUACCAACUCAGUCUUAACUACAUAAAAUUGUGUCUGCAUGUUCAUACCAAACUUCAGCAGUGGAAGCCUUCCAUUGAGGGGAAGCUUUUUGUUUUUUAACCAAAAGGCAUAUACAGGUUUUUUACUGAUCAUCUGUUCACCCUGUGGAAGGCCCAUCCUCUCCUACAACAUGCUAGCUAAGUGGUGCCAUUGCUACAAAAGUCUUUGCCUGCAUCAAAAUGCAAACUACAGAUCAAGCACUUCAGCGAUAGUGGAGCAGAUUGAAAUGUGGAAGCCUGCUGGGCAGAUGAGCAGGAACUGACCUUGUGCAAAGCAUUACCCUUACCAUACAGCAGUAAAGCACCCUUCACCCAUGAACCUGUGGCUUUCUUGUACAAUCAUACAUGUACAUCCGUGUCAUUAUUGAGCAAGUUGGUGCCAGUGCUUUGUUGGGCGUGUAUGGACUUAGACAACAAAAUCCUCUAAUAAGAGGGCCUAUUUGGAAAGGUAAGGAAUACUUUGGAAGUCACUUUUCUGCAAAGUAGAUUGAUCUUUAAGUAUGUUAUAUGUGACUCGUGUGGCAGCUCCGAUAUUUGUAGCAGUGGUUCUGCACUACAAAAACAGUAUAUUAGCUGCAUACGCACUUCCUUUACUACAUGGAAUGGUAGCAUGUUUGUUUCUUCUUUGUAAAGAAUCUGAAGUCAAUGAUCAACUUUCAUGAAGCUGACUGGUUUAAAAGUGUCAUUGCUCCUGCUAACCACCUGUAUUAGAGACCAGUCGCACUACUGCUCUUUCAGUACAUGUUACUGUUCCAUACUCUAGUGAUAUAGACAAAAUGUAUAAUAGUUAAAAUGACUGCACUCAAUUUCAAACAAAUUAUAGCAGGAAUAUGAUUCCAUCAUUGUGGAGCACUGAAUGGUAUAGUCAUAGGGAUAAUGUACCAUGGG